AAGUCUCAGAGUUCUUGAAUGCCAAAGAACAAAAUGCUAUGGUUGUUUUGGAACAAGGUGGAUGCAUCCAAUACAAAAGAGGUUGAUGGAAACUGUGUUUGCUAAAGUUGGAUAGCGCAGUCUCAAAUUUACAGAUCUUACUUGCUCUCUAGACAGAACCUACUUACCCUUCAAACAACUUAGAGUGGCACCACAAUAAAGUGCACAAACUGUAUUCUGUCAACAGUGCAUGAUAUAUGAACAUAAGCACUCAGUAAGUACAGUGGUAGUAUAAGCAAAAUGUUAUUCAAUGGUUUGGAGGAACCUAAGUUAAAUUGAUUUUGAAGAAUCUUGUUUGCUGAUAAGGACUUCUAACAGCCUAAGUUUGGCUUUAAUUUUCUUGUACUCCCUGUACUCAUCAAGCAUUGGAACCCGAUCUUCUUUCUGUACAUUCCUUCCAUUCUGCUGAUAAAAC
rnacentral:lncRNA from 1 species